GUCUGGUUGGCUCAGUUGGUAGAGCGUCGGUCUCAUAUCUUCAAUGUCAAAUAUGACAUCUGCUCAGCAGUUGCAAUCCGAAGAUCGCGAGUUCGAUCCUCGCACCGGACA